rnacentral:rRNA from 1 species
CGGGAAUAUUGCGCGAUGGAGGAAACUCUGACGCAGUGACGCCGCGUAUAGGAAGAAGGUUUUCGGAUUGUAAACUAUUGUCGUUAGGGAAGAUACAAGACAGUACCUAAGGAGGAAGCUCCGGCUAACUACGUGCCAGCAGCCGCGGUAAUACGUAGGUGGCAAGCGUUGUCCGGAAUUACUGGGUGUAAAGGGAGCGUAGGCGGGAUGCCAAGUCAGCUGUGAAAACUAUGGGCUUAACUUGUAGACUGCAGUUGAAACUGGUAUUCUUGAGUGAAGUAGAGGUUGGCGGAAUUCCGAGUGUAGCGGUGAAAUGCGUAGAUAUUCGGAGGAACACCGGUGGCGAAGGCGGCCAACUGGGCUUUAACUGACGCUGAGGCUCGAAAGUGUGGGGAGCAAACAGGAUUAGAUACCCUGGUAGUCCACGCCGUAAACGAUGGAUACUAGGUGUGGGAGGUAUUGACCCCUUCCGUGCCGCAGUUAACACAAUAAGUAUCCCACCUGGGGAGUACGGCCGCAAGGUUGAAACUCAAAGGAAUUGACGGGGGCCCGCACAAGCAGUGGAGUAUGUGGUUUAAUUCGAAGCAACGCGAAGAACCUUACCAGGCCUUGACAUCCCGAUGACCGGCUUAGAGAUAAGCCUUCUCUUCGGAGCAUCGGUGACAGGUGGUGCAUGGUUGUCGUCAGCUCGUGUCGUGAGAUGUUGGGUUAAGUCCCGCAACGAGCGCAACCCUUACGGUUAGUUGAUACGCAAGAUCACUCUAGCCGGACUGCCGUUGACAAAACGGAGGAAGGUGGGGACGACGUCAAAUCAUCAUGCCCCUUAUGGCCUGGGCUACACACGUACUACAAUGGCAGUCAUACAGAGGGAAGCAAAAUCGCGAGGUGGAGCAAAUCCCUAAAAGCUGUCCCAGUUCAGAUUGCAGGCUGCAACCCGCCUGCAUGAAGUCGGAAUUGCUAGUAAUCGCGGAUCAGCAUGCCGCGGUGAAUACGUUCCCG